GGUCACAGCAACCCCAGGCAUGCUACAGGCUGGGACAGAGUGACUGGAAAGCUUCCCAGUGGAAAAGGACCUGGGGGUGCUAGUCAACAGUGGCUGAACAUAAGCCAUCGAGUUCCCAGGUGGCCAAGAAGGCCAGUGGCAUCCUCGCCUGUAUCAGCACUAGAGUGGCCAGCAGGA